rnacentral:rRNA from 1 species
UAGGGAAUCUUCCGCAAUGGGCGAAAGCCUGACGGAGCAACGCCGCGUGAGUGAUGAAGGUCUUCGGAUCGUAAAACUCUGUUAUUAGGGAAGAACAAAUGUGUAAGUAACUAUGCACGUCUUGACGGUACCUAAUCAGAAAGCCACGGCUAACUACGUGCCAGCAGCCGCGGUAAUACGUAGGUGGCAAGCGUUAUCCGGGAUUAUUGGGCGUAAAGCGCGCGUAGGCGGUUUUUUAAGGCUGAUGUGAAAGCCCACGGCUCAACCGUGGAGGGUCAUUGGAAACUGGAAAACUUGAGUGCAGAAGAGGAAAGUGGAAUUCCAUGUGUAGCGGUGAAAUGCGCAGAGAUAUGGAGGAACACCAGUGGCGAAGGCGACGUUCUGGUCUGUAACUGACGCUGAUGUGCGAAAGCGUGGGGAUCAAACAGG